rnacentral:rRNA from 1 species
GUGGCCUGCGUAGUGAUUCGGGCUCCGGCCCGAUCCUCCCACCCUUUGUGUACCUACCUCUGUUGCUUUGGCGGGCCGCGGUUCUCCGCGGCCGCCCCCCUCCCCGGGGGGUGGCCAGCGCCCGCCAGAGGACCAUCAAACUCCAGUCAGUAAACGAUGCAGUCUGAAAAACAUUUAAUAAACUAAAACUUUCAACAACGGAUCUCUUGGUUCUGGCAUCGAUGAAGAACGCAGCGAAAUGCGAUAAGUAAUGUGAAUUGCAGAAUUCAGUGAAUCAUCGAAUCUUUGAACGCACAUUGCGCCCUUUGGUAUUCCGAAGGGCAUGCCUGUUCGAGCGUCAUUACAACCCUCAAGCUCUGCUUGGUAUUGGGCACCGUCCUUUGCGGGCGCGCCUCAAAGACCUCGGCGGUGGCGUCUUGCCUCAAGCGUAGUAGAACAUACAUCUCGCUUCGGAGCGCAGGGCGUCGCCCGCCGGACGAACCUUCUGAACUUUUCUCAAGGUUGACCUCGGAUCAGGUAGGGAUACCCGCUGAACUUAAGCAUAUCAAUAAGCGGAGGAA